CCCAGCACCAGGAUUCCCAGGUGUUCCAAUCAGUACUCAGGACAGGACACAGACACUCACAAUGGAGUUUGUGCUUGGCUGGGUUUUCCUUGUUGCUCUUUUAAAAGGUGUCCAGUGUGAGGUGCAGCUUGUGGAGUCUGGGGGAGACCUGGUGAAGCCUGGGGGGUCCCUGAGACUCUCCUGUGUAGGCUCUGGAUUUACCUUCAGUAGCUAUGGCAUGAGCUGGGUCCGCCAGACUCCGGGGAAGGGGCUGCAGUGGGUCGCAGUUAUUAGCAGUGAUGGAAGUAGCACAAGCUACGCAGACUCUGUGAAGGGCCGAUUCACCAUCUCCAGAGAAAACGGCAAGAACACGCUGUAUCUGCAGAUGAACAGCCUGAGAGCCGAGGACACAGCCGUGUAUUAUUGUGCAAUAGACACAGUGAGGGGACUGCAGUAUGUCCAGUGUGAGGUGCAGCUGGUGGAGUCUCGAGGAGACCUGGUGAAGCCUGGGCGAUCUUGA